rnacentral:ncRNA from 1 species
GCUAUUUAGGUAGCGCCUCGUGAACUCAUCUUCGGGGGUAGAGCACUGUUUCGGCUAGGGGGCCAUCCCGGCUUACCAAACCGAUGCAAACUCCGAAUACCGAAGAAUGUUAUCACGNNNN